rnacentral:rRNA from 1 species
GCGAAUGGUGGAUGCCUUGACUGGUAAAGGCGAUGAAGGACGUACUAGACUGCGAUAAGCUACGGGGAGCUGUCAAGAAGCUUUGAUCCGUAGAUUUCCGAAUGGGGCAACCCAAUGUAUAGAGAUAUACAUUACCUAUAUAGGAGCGAACGAGGGGAAUUGAAACAUCUUAGUACCCUCAGGAAAAGAAAUCAAUAGAGAUUGCGUCAGUAGCGGCGAGCGAAAGCGCAAGAGGGCAAACCCAGUGCUUGCACUGGGGGUUGUAGGACUGCAAUGUGCAAGAGCUGAGUUUAGCAGAACAUUCUGGAAAGUAUAACCAUAGAGGGUGAUAGUCCCGUAUGCGAAAAACAAACCUUAGCUAGCAGUAUCCUGAGUAGGGCGGGACACGAGGAAUCCUGUCUGAAUCCGGGUCGACCACGAUCCAACCCUAAAUACUAAUACCAGAUCGAUAGUGCACAAGUACCGUGAGGGAAAGGUGAAAAGAACUGAGGUGAUCAGAGUGAAAUAGAACCUGAAACCAUUUGCUUACAAUCAUUCAGAGCCCUAUGUAGCAAUACAGGGUGAUGGACUGCCUUUUGCAUAAUGAGCCUGCGAGUUGUGGUGUCUGGCAAGGUUAAGCAAACGCGAAGCCGUAGCGAAAGCGAGUCUGAAUAGGGCGCUUAGUCAGAUGCUGCAGACCCGAAACGAAGUGAUCUAUCCAUGAGCAAGUUGAAGCUAGUGUAAGAACUAGUGGAGGACUGAACCCAUAGGCGUUGAAAAGCCCCGGGAUGACUUGUGGAUAGGGGUGAAAGGCCAAUCAAACUUCGUGAUAGCUGGUUCUCUCCGAAAUAUAUUUAGGUAUAGCGUUGUGUCGUAAUAUAAGGGGGUAGAGCACUGAAUGGGCUAGGGCAUACACCAAUGUACCAAACCCUAUCAAACUCCGAAUACCUUAUAUGUAAUCACAGCAGUCAGGCGGCGAGUGAUAAAAUCCGUCGUCAAGAGGGAAACAACCCAGACUACCAGCUAAGGUCCCUAAAUCUUACUUAAGUGGAAAACGAUGUGAAGUUACUUAAACAACCAGGAGGUUGGCUUAGAAGCAGCCAUCCUUUAAAGAAAGCGUAAUAGCUCACUGGUCUAGUGAUUUUGCGCGGAAAAUAUAACGGGGCUAAAGU